rnacentral:rRNA from 1 species
ACUCCUACGGGAGGCAGCAGUAGGGAAUCUUCCACAAUGGACGAAAGUCUGAUGGAGCAACGCCGCGUGAGUGAAGAAGGGUUUCGGCUCGUAAAACUCUGUUGUUAAAGAAGAACAUAUCUGAGAGUAACUGUUCAGGUAUUGACGGUAUUUAACCAGAAAGCCACGGCUAACUACGUGCCAGCAGCCGCGGUAAUGCGUAGGUGGCAAGCGUUGUCCGGAUUUAUUGGGCGUAAAGCGAGCGCAGGCGGUUUUUAAGUCUGAUGUGAAAGCCUUCGGCUCAACCGAAGAAGUGCAUCGGAAACUGGGAAACUUGAGUGCAGAAGAGGACAGUGGAACUCCAUGUGUAGCGGUGAAAUGCGUAGAUAUAUGGAAGAACACCAGUGGCGAAGGCGGCUGUCUGGUCUGUAACUGACGCUGAGGCUCGAAAGUAUGGGUAGCAAACAGGAUUAGAUACCCUGGUAGGAUAGCG